rnacentral:lncRNA from 10 species
GGACUACAGGCAUGAGCCACUGAGCCUGGCCGUUUGAAAUUCUUAAUGAUUUUUGAAAAAGAGGCGCUACAUUUUCAGUUUGCACUGGACUCUGCAGAUCACGGGGCUGGUCCUACCUCCAACAACGUCAGAGCUACUGCUUUCCCCCAGACCUCACCAGAAUGGAAUAUAAUCAUCUCAACCUUUUUGUUAUGGCUGUUAAUUUAAUAGGUGGAAAUGUGCGCCUCAGUUGUUUUAAUUUGCAUUUCUUUGAUUACUGGCCAGGUUGACUGUGUUUCCUCACAGUCUGUUUACUAACCAUGCUUCCUUUUAUGUGAGCCGCCUGUGUCCUUUGCCCAUUUAUGUUUUCAAAUGCCAAAAUAAGUUUCCUCUCUGUGGGAAUGAAUCAUCAAUUUUUUAAAUGUAUGGAGAGAAUGUUUUCUGCAGAAACAGCCUGGGGUUUCAGGAAGGCAGGCCCAGUUCAGGGGUGCCUUGGGAGCAAAGGUCCUGUCAUUCCAACACUAAGAAUUAGACCUUUACGAGAAGCACAGUUUUGUCUUCAGUUUCCUCUCCCCCCACCCGGAAUGGCCUGAGCCGAAGCCAGCUCCCUCCGAGAAGUCAUUACCGCCUGACUUGCGUUUGAUAUUUAGACACCUUGGUCACAACAUCUUGCAUUCUCUCGGGAUGCUGAUUUCUAACUGCUCUUUGGCCUUUCCUGCAUUGGUCCUCCUCAGGCAGGGGAUCCCUGCUCUUCUAUAUUAGUGAGAAAACCAAGGCUCAGAGAAACUGUGGAUUUUCUAAGGAUGCUGGCUCCCCGUCCCCUGUCCACCAUGAGUCAAAGCAAUGUGAGUCCCUCACCAGAUGCAACUGCCCAGUCUUGGACUUUCCAGUGACCAGAAUCAUGAGCCAAAUAAACCUCUUUUCUUUAUGAAUUACCCAGCCUCAAGUAUUCUGUUAUAGCA